GAGCUCGUAGCUCAGUCGGUAGAGCACCUGACUUUUAAUCAGGUUGUCGCGGGUUCGAUUCCCGCCGAGCUCACCA
rnacentral:tRNA from 1 species